AGGGUCCAUGUGCUCAACACCACGACCCUGAGGAUUGACAACCUGACCCUUGAGGACAGUGGGCAGUACUGGGCUCGAGUCUCCUUAACCGGAGGAAGAGAAACAAACCGGUAUUUCCACCUCACUGUCUACGAGCCCGUGCCCCGCCCCCAGAUCCUGGCCAAGACUCCAUCCGUCACACCAGACUGGUGCAAUGUCACCCUGGAGUGCCAUGCCCCGGGAACCAGAGAGGACGUGAAUGUGUCCUGGGAGAUCAAGGGCCUCCCCAGGGAGCUGGAGCAGAGAGGGGUCCCAGGACCGGCCCCCAACCCCUGGACCGUGGCUCUGAAGCUGCCCCUGAGCCAGCCCAGCCCCAGCAUCACCUGUGUGGUCAGCAACCCGGGGGACCGGAAAACUGCCACCCGGGACCUUGGGGAAGUCUGUGCCCACGGUCCCCCUGGGUGAGGGUUCUGGUCUCUGUCCCCCAUGUUUAGAUCACCUCCUGCCACUGUCACCCGUCCAGGAGGCUGGCAGGCACAUCCUGCUUGCUUCUGCCUUUCGGUGUCUCUCUCCUGCUCCUCUGCACCCCCCACCCCUGCUCAUCCAGGCAGCCCCCUCGGGUACCUCACCCCUGCCUCAUGCUUCAGUCCUUGUGUGUCCUGGGAGGUUUCCAGCAAGCGAGGGGGGAGGGUCAGUGGUCGGUGCCACCGACUAGAGGGAGGCCGAGCCAGCCGCUGCCUGCAGGGUUCAGGCGUCGGGGCUCGUGUGCCCUUCUCCGGUCUCGGGGGCACGCUUCCCGCCCCAGUGCUCGCCUGGAUUCCCGGAUGUGUCCUGGGCUCCCCAGGUUUCAGCCUCUGGCCAGGCUGCUCCUUCUUCCCCAGACCUUCCAGUCCGGAGUCCUCCCCUUCCGCACUUACUCCCGUCCAGGGA